UACGUAGGGGGCAAGCGUUGUCCGGAAUCAUUGGGCGUAAAGAGCGUGUAGGCGGCUCGGUAAGUCCGCUGUGAAAGUCCAGGGCUCAACCCUGGAAUGCCGGUGGAUACUGUCGAGCUCGAGUCCGGAAGAGGCGAGUGGAAUUCCUGGUGUAGCGGUGAAAUGCGCAGAUAUCAGGAGGAACACCAAUGGCGAAGGCAGCUCGCUGGGACGUGACUGACGCUGAGACGCGAAAGCGUGGGGAGCAAACAGG
rnacentral:rRNA from 1 species